rnacentral:misc_RNA from 1 species
UUUAGUCGUGCGAGAUCGGGAUGUCAGACAGGCUCUGCACCGAAAGGUGCUGAAAGAGCAUCACGGCGACGCCGACACUUUGGUGCUCGACGAGUUGGGCCUGCGUCAUGGCACCUGCCGGGUCGAUAUCGCCGUCGUAAAUGGCUACCUGCACGGUUACGAGAUCAAAAGCGAUUCAGACACGCUGGAACGGCUUCCCGCCCAGAUCGCCACUUAUGGGCUCGUCCUGGACCGGGCGACGC